CUAGCAAUGGUACCCGAUGGUCGGAUAGGUCGAAUAUGUAGAACAACAUCCUUAGAACCCAUACGGAUAUAGUUUUCAUAUAAUUCAUCCCCUUGACCAAAAUACUCAUAAGACACCUUAGAGUUCAACCAUCAACUCUGAUCAGAUUGUCCACAUUGUAUUUCAAAAUAUCAAAUCCAUCUGAUGGAUUACCCUGGCCA
rnacentral:lncRNA from 1 species